CGCGUGCAGGAAGACGGCCCUAUGGGUUGUAAACUGCUUUUACAGAGGAAGAACCCUCCUUACGUGUAAGGAGCUGACGGUACUCUAUGAAUAAGGAUCGGCUAACUCCGUGCCAGCAGCCGCGGUAAUACGGAGGAUCCAAGCGUUAUCCGGAAUCAUUGGGUUUAAAGGGUCCGUAGGCGGGUCUAUAAGUCAGUGGUGAAAGUCUGCAGCUUAACUGUAGAACUGCCAUUGAUACUGUAGACCUUGAAUUAGUAUGAAGUGGUUAGAAUGUGUAGUGUAGCGGUGAAAUGCAUAGAUAUUACACAGAAUACCGAUUGCGAAGGCAGAUCACUAAUACUAUAUUGACGCUGAUGGACGAAAGCGUAGGUAGCGAACAGGAUUAGAUACCCUGGUAGUCUACGCCGUAAACGAUGGUUACUAGCUGUCCGGCCUAAUUGAGGGCUGGGUGGUUAAGCGAAAGUGAUAAGUAACCCACCUGGGGAGUACGUUCGCAAGAAUGAAACUCAAAGGAAUUGACGGGGGCCCGCACAAGCGGUGGAGCAUGUGGUUUAAUUCGAUGAUACGCGAGGAACCUUACCAGGGCUUAAAUGCAGUCUGACGUAUCUGGAAACAGAUAUUUCUUCGGACAGAUUGCAAGGUGCUGCAUGGUUGUCGUCAGCUCGUGCCGUGAGGUGUCAGGUUAAGUCCUAUAACGAGCGCAACCCCUGUGGUUAGUUGCCAGCGAGUAAUGUCGGGAACUCUAGCCAGACUGCCGGUGCAAACCGUGA
rnacentral:rRNA from 1 species